rnacentral:rRNA from 1 species
UAGAUGCGAGAGUAGAGCAUAUCAAUAAGCGGAGGAAAAGAAACUAACAAGGAUUCCCUUAGUAACGGCGAGUGAAGCGGGAAGAGCUCAAAUCUGAAAUCUUCAAGGUUCUACCUUGACGAAUUGUAGUUUAAAGAAGUGUUUUCUGUUGGAGUUUUGGUAAAAGUUCUCUGGAAUAGGACAUCAUAGAGGGUGAGAAUCCCGUAUUUGACCAUUCCUUUCUAGCUGUGUGAUACACUAUUCAAAGAGUCGGAUUGUUUGGGAAUGCAGUCCAAAAUGGGUGGUAAAUUUCAUCUAAAGCUAAAUAUUGGCGAGAGACCGAUAGCGAACAAGUACCGUGAGGGAAAGAUGAAAAGAACUUUGAAAAGAGAGUUAAACAGUACGUGAAAUUGUCAAAAGGGAAGCGUUUGACACCAGUGUUGUUUUUCCGAAAAUCAAUUAUAAAUGUUUUGUUUCUGAGGAGUGAUGACUUCAUCGGCUUCCUUCUCUCUUCACGAAACUUUUGUAAUGCACUUUUCGGUUAACAAGUCAACAUCAAUUUCUUUUGUUGUAAAAGAGUAUUCGGAAGGUGGCUUUCUUUUCGGAGAAAGUGUUUAUAGCCCUAUACUUCUACAAUCGGAGAGAUUGAGGUCUGCAGCGUAGAUCCUUCGGGGUUAGAUACAUUUGUGCUAAGUUAUAGCUUUUCAUAGACAACUUGUUGACUAUGUUUAGUCUUGUAGCUUACUCGCUUAUGCUAUUUUACCUACGCUUAGGAUGUUGACACACGCGCGUGCUCG